GGGACAACAAGAUGGUGUUGCAAACCCGAGUCCUCAUCACCUUGUUGCUAUGGGUCUCUGGUGUCUGUGGGGACAUCACGGUGACUCAGUCUCCAGCCUCCCUGGCUGCGUCUGUAGGAGAGAGAAUCACCAUCAAUUGUAAGUCCAGCCAGAGUCUUUUAUCCAGCUCAAACCAGAAGAACUACCUGGCCUGGUACCAGCAGAAACCAGGACAGCCUCCUAAACGUCUCAUCUACUGGGCAUCCACUCGGGCAUCUGGGGUCCCUGACCGCUUCAGUGGCAGUGGGUCUGGGACAGAUUUCACUCUCACCAUCAGCAGCCUCCAGGCUGAAGAUAUGGCAGAUUACUACUGUCAGCAGUAUUAUAGCUUUCCACCCACAGUGCUUCAGACUUAG